CCUGCCACCUGAUCAGACACACAAGUGUCUCAGUCUGACUCCCAGAAGGAUUGCUCUAACCGCCACUCCCACCAGUUCCAAGUUCAUCUCUACUGGGAUUUCUCUCAAAAGUGUUUGGAGAUUAACUUUUAAAAGUCAUUAAAAGGAUAAACACUCAGAGAAAAGGAGGGAGGUAGGCGAAAGGUGUUGCAAGAUUUCAAAGCUACCAAGUUCACACAGAGCAACUGCUCUGAAGCCAGAGUUAUGGACUUGGUCUUUAAUAUUACUUGACAUAGCAUGUGGAGGGAGACACCACUGGAAUUACACUCAUCUGCGAUGCACCAUUUACACAGUAUCCACCUUGUUACUGAGAACAACUGUGAAAUGUUCAGGCACUACUUGGUGUUGAUCUCUACAAAGCCCUGCUGCCUAUUCAGAAACUGGAGAUGCUGUGGGUGGCAGUUCAAUGACAGUGCUGUCCCAGCCUGCCUCUGAUGGGAGAUAUAAACACCUUUGGUCUUGACCACUGGCUGAAGGAUGUCAGGACCAUCAAAUCUCAAGGCCAUCUGACCUUCCUGGAGGGCAUGUCACAGCCAUUAAGUACUCUUUCCUCGCAGAAGCCAAAAGGGUUUUCUUUCUCUAGCCUCAAAAAGGCUCCAUUUGUGCAUGACGUCUCAUUAUCGUUCUAGAAGAUCUAUUUAAUUUCCCCUAAGUCUUUAGGGGAAAUUGAUGGGAGGCAUGAUGGAUCAUCAGGCUGCCAGUGGCCAGAUAUGAGCCUCCCUGCUAGGAAUUCCCAGGAGGCACUGAAGGGAGCCUGAAACUGCCAUGUUCAGAAGUGUUCAGCCUCAGGAUGCACCUGGACUGCAGAGACCACUGAGCACAGAGAUUCUGACCUAGAACAAGCCCAGGAUGUCACAAACAAGAUUCCCAAGGAGUAUCAGAUGAAUAAGGAGCAGUGGAGCAGGGAUCACAGUCUCUUUUCUUCCCUACCUGAAACACGGCCUAUAGACUUCUGUCCUAAUUCACAAGGUGUGGCCAGAGCUGACCAACCAGUGGAGAUCUAGGCCACGUUGACCCCAGGAUGAACCUGAAGCAGCUGUCUUCCAGAGGGAAGCCUCAGAGGCUCUAAAGGCUGAAUAAUCGCCUCAAGUCACAGAGCUCUGGGGCGCCUGACAGGGCUGAAUCCUGUCUUCUCCACCUCAAGUCCGAGAUCCUUCUGCUGCUCCAUGUGGCCCUCUAAACUUCACACUCUGAUUUCCCUCCUCCCCAGCCCCAGCCUAGUGCACACACAGAAAACCUCGAAUACACAGAUCACCAAACUAAUCUACAGAUGCUGCUAUUUCAAUGCUCAGUCCCCAAAGAUCUCAACAAGUGGCUAAAUAACAAGAGCUAUUUAGCAAAGGCAGAUUUUAGAGGAGUUUACGGAUUGUCUUUGAGAUCAAAAUCACAUUUCUCACAGCGUGAGAAUGUGCCCAUUUUGGAGAGAGGGAUGCAGAGGCCAAGGAGUGCAGUGACUUGUUAAAGCUUCCAAGCCCCUUGCCUGUGGCCGAGCCAGCACUCGAACUUUGACAUCUGAUUUGAAAACCUGCAUGUUUCUACUUCCUCCCUCUCAGCCUAAUUAGCCCUGUCACAAAUGGUGCUGCCAUUACUCUGUCCCAAUCUGCUGCAUUAAA